GUUAAUAUCAUCAUUCUUUUGUAACUCAAGUAUAUAGAAAAACUUUAAUGAAGUGUGCUUCAUUCUAUCUCCUUUUAUGAAUUCUCUCUUAAUAUGUGUUAUGCGUGUUGCAUUACUCAGUAUAAAAUUGUAGAUACAUUAUCACAUUUCAAACCACAUUUUUCUCGAAUGAGAUGUAUUAUGAACCUCAUCCACACACACUCUCG
rnacentral:lncRNA from 1 species